rnacentral:rRNA from 1 species
GUUCUACCUUGACGAAUUGUAGUUUAAAGAAGUGUUUUCUGUUAGAUGAGUAGCAAAAGUUCCUUGGAAUGGGACAUCAUAGAGGGUGAGAAUCCCGUAUUUGGUUAUUCAUUCUAGCUUUGUGAUACACUUUCAAAGAGUCGGAUUGUUUGGGAAUGCAGUCCGAAAUGGGUGGUAAAUUUCAUCUAAAGCUAAAUAUUGGCGAGAGACCGAUAGCGAACAAGUACCGUGAGGGAAAGAUGAAAAGAACUUUGAAAAGAGAGUUAAACAGUACGUGAAAUUGUCAAAAGGGAAGCGUUUGACACCAGUGUUGUUUUUCCGAAAAUCAAUUACGAAUGGCUUGAUUUUGUGUUGUAUUGACCUUAUCAGCUUUCUUCACUUUUUUCGAGUCUUUCUU